GACGAACGCUGGCGGCGUGCUUAACACAUGCAAGUCGAGCGGAAAGGCCCCUUCGGGGGUACUCGAGCGGCGAACGGGUGAGUAACACGUGAGUAAUCUGCCCUUGGCUUCGGGAUAACCACCGGAAACGGUGGCUAAUACCGGAUAUGACCGCCCCCGGCAUCGGGUGGUGGUGGAAAGUUUUUUCGGCCAGGGAUGUGCUCGCGGCCUAUCAGCUUGUUGGUGGGGUAAUGGCCUACCAAGGCUUCGACGGGUAGCCGGCCUGAGAGGGUGACCGGCCACACUGGGACUGAGACACGGCCCAGGCUCCUACGGGAGGCAGCAGUGGGGAAUAUUGGACAAUGGGCGAAAGCCUGAUCCAGCAACGCCGCGUGAGGGAUGACGGCCUUCGGGUUGUAAACCUCUUUCAGUACCGACGAAGCGCCGAUGAUGGUGGUGACGGUAGGUACAGAAGAAGCACCGGCCAACUACGUGCCAGCAGCCGCGGUAACAC
rnacentral:rRNA from 1 species